rnacentral:rRNA from 1 species
AGAGUGAACGCUGGCGGUAGGCCUAACACAUGCAAGUCGAACGGCAGCACAGUAGGAGCUUGCUCUUACGGGUGGCGAGUGGCGGACGGGUGAGGAAUACAUCGGAAUCUACCUUUUGGUGGGGGAUAACGUAGGGAAACUUACGCUAAUACCGCAUACGCCCUUCGGGGGAAAGCCGGGGACCAGCAAUGGCCUGGUGCUGAUAGAUGAGCCGAUGUCGAUUAGCUAGUUGGUGAGGUAAUGGCUCACCAAGGCGACGAUCCGUAGCUGGUCUGAGAGGAUGAUCAGCCACACUGGAACUGACGACACGGUCCAGACCUCCGUAACGGGAGGCAGGCUAGGUAGGGGAAUAGUUAGGACAAGUGGGACGCGAAGCCUGACUCCGAGACCAGUACCGGCGUAGGUAGAAGAACGGUCCGUU